rnacentral:lncRNA from 1 species
UGAAAAUGAUAGAGGCAUUGUUUGUUAUGAGAAAAACCACUUGGCCAAUUUUUUUUGAAUCAACUAACCUUGUGAGGAGUGAUCCUUAGUUAACCCCCUUUGAGCUUGUUUUAGGAUUCAUUUGAUUGAUAAGUAUAAAGUCAAUUGAAAGUUUUGUGAAUAAAUGAAUCCUAAUUUCUUUCGUUUCAAUUGAACCUUCAAACCGAGUUUGUUUGCAAAUUUUGCCUUUCGCCUAUGUCUAAGUAGGGAGCAUUAUUGAAUAAAUUUGGUUUUGAAAACUAAAGUUGGGGAGAGUAAAUUAAAAGAGUUGAUUAGAAACUUGGAAAAGUGAUGUUUUAUAAAAGGGUGAAAGUGUGAAAAGAAACAAGAAAAAGAAAUCACCCUUGAAACUAUAGAGCAAAGAAAAGUUGGGGAGAGUAAAUUAAAAGAGUUGAUUAGAAACUUGGAAAAGUGAUGUUUUAUAAAAGGGUGAAAGUGUGAAAAGAAACAAGAAAAAGAAAUCACCCUUGAAACUAUAGAGCAAAGAAAAAGAAAAAGAAAGAAAAAAACAAAGAAAAAGCUCAUGGUUGUGUGGAUGUGAAAAAUAAGAAAAGAAGAAAGAUGGGGAUAAAAGAAAUGG